rnacentral:rRNA from 1 species
AUCGAGUAGCAAUACUAGAGGCGAACGGGUGAGUAACACGUAUCCAACCUUCCCUUUUGACUGGGAUAACUAAAAGAAAUUUUAGCUAAUACCGGAUGAUAUAUUUAUACGCAUGUCUUUAUAUUAAAAGUUGGGUUUCCAACACAUUAGGAUGGGGAUGCGCCACAUUAGCUAGUUGGUAGGGUAACGGCCUACCAAGGCGACGAUGUGUAGCUAUACUGAGAGGUAGAAUAGCCACAAUGGAACUGAAACACGGUCCAUACUCCUACGGGAGGCAGCAGUAGGGAAUUUUCCACAAUGGGGGCAACCCUGAUGGAGCAACGCCGCGUGAACGAUGAAGGUCUUCGGAUUGUAAAGUUCUUUUAUAAGGGAAGAAUACUAAAAGAAGGAAAUGUUUUUUAGUUGACGGUACUUUAUGAAUAAGUGACGGCAAACUAUGUGCCAGCAGCCGCGGUAAUACAUAGGUCACAAGCGUUAUCCGGAUUUAUUGGGUAUAAAACAAGCGCAGGCUGUCUAACAAGUUUAAAGUGAAAUAACAAGGCUCAACCUU